rnacentral:rRNA from 1 species
GUCCACGCCGUAAACGAUGGGUGCUAGGUGUGGGGUGUCGACUCCCCUGUGCCGAAGCUAACGCAUUAAGCACCCGCCUGGGGAGUACGGCCGCAAGGCUAAAACUCAAAGGAAUUGACGGGGCCCGCACAAGCAGCGGAGCAUGUGGUUUAAUUCGACGCAACGCGAAGAACCUUACCAAGGCUUGAAAUGCUCGGGAAAAGCCGGAGAAAUUCGGCCCUCCUUCGGGACUCGAGUACAGGUGGUGCAUGGCUGUCGU